rnacentral:ncRNA from 1 species
GAGAGCCGAAUACAUCGAAAGGUGUACGUUCGGUUCGGAGGGGGAGGCUGGAAACCUGCAUUGCAAAUGCAAGGCGCCAAUUCUCUACCCUAC